GACGAACGCUGGCGGCGUGCUUAACACAGGCAAGUCGAACGGAAAGGCCCGGCGGUUGUGGGGUGGUCGUGUGGCGAACGGGGGAGUGACACGAGAGUAACCCCCCCUUGACUGUGGGAAAACGUCAGGAAACGCGGGCUAUUACCGGGGAGCAGCUGCUGCAGCAUGUGGGGGACGGGAAAUCUAAGGCGGUAGGGGCUGGACUCGCGGCUUAUCAGCUUGUUGGUCGGGUAGUGACUUCCCAAGGCUUGGACGGGUAGACGGCCUGAGAGGAUGACCGCACACACUGGGACUGCGAUAGGGCCCAGUCUCGUCCGUGCGGCAGCAGUGGGGAAUAUUGCGAAAUGGGACGACGCAUGAUGAAGCCGCGCCGCGUGCGGGAUGACGGCCUACGGGUUGUAAACCGCUUUCGCCUGUGGCGACGCGUGCGUGACGGUAAUGGGUAAAGAAGCACCGGCUAACUACGUG
rnacentral:rRNA from 1 species